rnacentral:rRNA from 1 species
CCUACGGGCGGCAGCAGUGGGGAAUAUUGGGCAAUGGGCGCAAGCCUGACCCAGCGACGCCGCGUGAGGGAAGACGGUCUUCGGAUUGUAAACCUCUUUCAGCCGGGAAGUCAAAAGGACGGUACCUGCAGAAGAAGCCAUGGCUAACUACGUGCCAGCCGCCGCGGUCAUACGUAGGUGGCAAGCGUUAUCCAGAAUUCCUGGGUGUAAAGGGUGUGUAGGCGGGUUUGCAAGUCAGAUGUGAAAAUUAUGGGCUCAACACAUAACCUGCGUCUGAAACGACAGAGCUUGAGAGUGGGAGAGGUAAGCGGAAUUCGCGGUGUAGCGGUGAAAUGCGUAGAUAUCGGGAAGAACGCC